rnacentral:rRNA from 1 species
CCCUUGUACACACCGCCCGUCACACCACGAGAGUGGUUAUAACCAGAAGUAGCCGAGCUAACCGCGAAGGAGGCAAGUUACCAAGGUUGUAGCCGUGAUUGGGGUG